AACGAACGCUGGCGGCAGGCCUAACACAUGCAAGUCGAGCGGGCGUAGCAAUACGUCAGCGGCGGACGGGUGAGUAACACGUGGGAAUAUGCCUUUCGGUUUGGAACAACUCGGGGAACCCGUGCUAAUUCCGGAUACGCCCUUAGGGGAAGGAUUUAUCGCCGAAAGAUUAGCCCGCGUCCGAUUAGCUAGUUGGUGAGGUAACGGCCCACCAAGGCGACGAUCGGUAGCUGGUUUGAGAGAACGA
rnacentral:rRNA from 1 species